rnacentral:rRNA from 1 species
CCUACGGGAGGCAGCAGUGGGGAAUAUUGCACAAUGGGCGCAAGCCUGAUGCAGCCAUGCCGCGUGUAUGAAGAAGGCCUUCGGGUUGUAAAGUACUUUCAGCGGGGAGGAAGGGAGUAAAGUUAAUACCUUUGCUCAUUGACGUUACCCGCAGAAGAAGCACCGGCUAACUCCGUGCCAGCAGCCGCGGUAAUACGGAGGGUGCAAGCGUUAAUCGGAAUUACUGGGCGUAAAGCGCACGCAGGCGGUUUGUUAAGUCAGAUGUGAAAUCCCCGGGCUCAACCUGGGAACUGCAUCUGAUACUGGCAAGCUUGAGUCUCGUAGAGGGGGGUAGAAUU